UGGAUCCAGACUUUGAUUAUGGCUCAGGACGAACGCUGGCGGCGUGCCUAAUACAUGCAAGUCGAACGAAGCUUUCUUUCACCGGAUGCUUGCAUUCACCGAAAGAAGCUUAGUGGCGAACGGGUGAGUAACACGUAGGCAACCUGCCCAAAAGAGGGGGAUAACACUUGGAAACAGGUGCUAAUACCGCAUAACCAUGAACACCGCAUGAUGUUCAUGUAAAAGACGGCUUUUGCUGUCACUUUUGGAUGGGCCUGCGGCGUAUCAACUUGUUGGUGGGGUAACGGCCUACCAAGGUGAUGAUACGUAGCCGAACUGAGAGGUUGAUCGGCCACAUUGGGACUGAGACACGGCCCAAACUCCUACGGGAGGCAGCAGUAGGGAAUCUUCCACAAUGGACGAAAGUCUGAUGGAGCAACGCCGCGUGAAUGAAGAAGGCCUUCGGGUCGUAAAAUUCUGUUGUCAGAGAAGAACGUGCGUGAGAGUAACUGUUCACGUAUUGACGGUAUCUGACCAGAAAGCCACGGCUAACUACGUGCCAGCAGCCGCGGUAAUACGUAGGUGGCAAGCGUUGUCCGGAUUUAUUGGGCGUAAAGGGAACGCAGGCGGUCUUUUAAGUCUGAUGUGAAAGCCUUCGGCUUAACCGAAGUAGUGCAUUGGAAACUGGAAGACUUGAGUGCAGAAGAGGAGAGUGGAACUCCAUGUGUAGCGGUGAAAUGCGUAGAUAUAUGGAAGAACACCAGUGGCGAAAGCGGCUCUCUGGUCUGUAACUGACGCUGAGGUUCGAAAGCGUGGGUAGCAAACAGGAUUAGAUACCCUGGUAGUCCACGCCGUAAACGAUGAGUGCUAAGUGUUGGAGGGUUUCCGCCCUUCAGUGCUGCAGCUAACGCAUUAAGCACUCCGCCUGGGGAGUACGGUCGCAAGACUGCAACUCAAAGGAAUUGACGGA
rnacentral:rRNA from 1 species